AUUAAAAAUAAUAAAAAUAUUAAAAAUUAAAGGAGCAAGAGGAGAAGGGGAGAGGAGAGGGUGGGGAAAGAAAGCAGAGAGGGAAACCUUGACAGCAAAGCCUUCCACAGGCAUGCACUCUUUAUUCUGGUGAAUUUGAAAAUGGAAGCUUGAAAAAUCAUUUUAAUCUGGGUUUGCUUACAGAGACUAGGCAUGAAAUGGUACUGCGGACCAGUCAUGCAAUUCAAGGGAAUUUUUCCUCGUGGGAUUAAAAAUGAGGGUAAACUGAGGACAGACGGGGAACCCGAGGUCUGCCUGCAUCUGGACCUUGAGGAAUUGGUUGCACCUGUCCCCGGGGGUUUCCUGGGCUGGAAGUUCUCUGGGCUGGAAUGCCUCUUUCCCGGCCUCAGCCUGGAGACACGGAGAAGGAGGUCACAAUGCUUUAACCCAAUUCAUCCCCCCUCUCCCGCCCUGAGUAUUCCCCGUUUAGCUGUGAAAGUUUUUCUCAGGCCAUGCAUGGUAUCAGUUACGCUCAGGAAGGAGUUGGUGUGAACCCUGUGUAGAGGCGACUAAGUGUACUGGCCAAGAUCACCGACUCUCCGCCUGGGUUCAAAUGAAGACUCUCACUCGCAGAUGACUUGACGCAAUCCUUCUUGGCAGCAGGUGUGCUGGAGAUGAAUGCAGGUAAGGUUGCUGAAAGCCAAGCUUCCACCAUCUUAACGAUGAUUGUUUUGGCUCUCAGUGCUCCUACACGAGGCGCUGCUUGAAGGACUGACAGGGUAUGGGAACGCGGUCACGCAGCCAGACCAGCACCCAGUGCCCCGCUCCAGACCCAGCUCAGAGCAUGAGGGCCAAGGUCCUACUGCAGCUUGGUUCUGCUGGAGCCAAGGACUUACUACCCCCAACAGGGCUUCCCUUCAAGACCUUCCUGGGGUGAAAAGCUGACAUAAGGGGAGCCAUUCCAGAGGAACUGCUUGCAUGUCUUGCUCCAUGAACCUUUGGAAUGUUUGAACUGGACAAAAUAACCUUUGGACUGGGCCAGACAGCUAUUUGCAAAACUAACAGGAUAGCAGACAUGCUGACCACAAGGACUGUUGAUUACAGAAUCAUUUUCUAAGAUAGAAUCCAUGUAGAGCUUGAGUAACAGCUGGUCAGCAGCAAUGGGAAUUAUCCUAUUCAUGUGAUUAUUUCCCUUCCUAGUCUCCUAAACCCCUUCCUUCACCUCACACUCGGGGCAGUUUGGGUUCCUGCAGGAAUCUUUGGGAUCUCAAAGAAGAGCUUGCUGCUCUCACUUUGGCCUUUUAUUUUUAGGUUCACAUUGGUCCACCUACCCCGGAGGUAUACCUAAUCCUAUAUAAUAAAAGGGUAAUAUGCAAAUUGACCCUAACAGCAGAAUGACUGGGAAUGAUUGGUCACUAUGACACACACUGACCACCAGCGGACAGCUGCUCAAUGCAGGAGCUGCCCCC